CUUCUUUUUAUUCUGCAUCUCACACAAAACAGAAGCAGCAGGAUGGUCUGUUUUGCAGAUGGAGGCAAAACGGUAAUGAUAUCAAAACUGCCAGGGUGACAUUUACACAGGCAAAGCAGUUGCACUCUUUUACAAAAAAAAAAAAUAAAUACAAUGAAUACACAGCAAAAGACAAAAAAAAGGGGGGCACACCAUGUUUUCUGUGCAAUUUUCUGUACAAUGAUUAAGACACUAUGUCUCCUCGGGAGUGGUCCAUCUUGAAAAUAAAUUGUUAUCAUUUCUUUUUGCAGGUGAAGGGGCCAGGGACUGGAGCGCUUGAUGCCGAAAACACUACACCAGUGCGAUGAGAUAACAAGCUUAGCGGCCUUGACCUUGUCUAAUGGCGCCUCCGUCAUAUUUACCAAAUGGUAUUUGGAGCAAUCACCACAAGUUGCGGCGAGAUGGAUAGAUUGACAACAAAGCAAUCAAAUCCACAAGGGUGUGUGCUCCCACGGAGGCUUAUCCUGACUACAACCUGUUCAUAAUGCAGGGCAAACAAGAAGGAUUUCAUCACUGACACGCUGAGCUCCCCCUCUCUUCUGUCAGGGCAAGGGCACCAUCAGCGCUUUGUUCUACAGCGCACAAGUCAAAGACUGAAUGUUUAAACAACAGAGAGGGGAGGGGAGACGGCAGCAGCAGUGGCAGCAGCAGCAAGGAGAGCCCAUCAAAAUUCAACAGGAAUUGUCCGGAGCGGUCCCUCAUGGGCUGCCCUCCUUGGAGGACGUGGCUGGAAAUGGCUCCCGGUCUUGUCAACCAUGGUAAUACAGUGCAAGACACCGCAGGGAUAAAUACCUGGGUGACAAAUAAAUGUGUUGUAAAAGGGGCAUUAAUCGCCGGCUUUGUGAGACGUGUGUCCUUAUGACAAAGGAGGGAGACAUUUGUCAGUCUGUUCCACAGAUGGCCCCACGGAGCUCCUGAUGAAUCACCUCCACCUUGUUUUAACCGGCCGCAGAGGCAGCAGCACCACAGCCGCUCAAUCUGCCGCCUCCUGGCACCCCGAUCCACUACAGGGGUAGUAGAAAACACAAGCAAAGCACACGCUUGGAGCUCAGACGAGCAUACGUCCGCUUUUAUCUUAAAGGAAUAGAUAGAAUUAAAUGAGGGGAUCGAUAUCAGUUUCACGUCAAUCCAUUAAGUAAGCUAGAGCCAAUUAGUUCAGCAUGAGGACCGGUAGCGUGGGGGAAACAACCGGCCUGGCUCAGGCGAAGCAGAAAAAAAAUAAAUAAA